AUUGAACGCUAGCGGGAUGCCUUACACAUGCAAGUCGAACGGAGUGGCGAACGGGUGAGUAAUGUAUCGGAACGUGCCCAGUAGCGGGGGAUAACUACGCGACAGCGUAGCUAAUACCGCAUACUAUUGGCGCGGCCGAUAUGGGUUUAGCUAGUUGGUGGGGUAACGGCCCACCAAGGCGACGGUCCGUACCUGGUUUGUGUGGACGACCAGCCACACGGGGACUGAGACACGGCCCAGACUCUUACGGGAGGCAGCAGUGGGGAAUAUUGGACAAUGGGGGAAAGCCUGAUCCAGCCAUGCCGCGUGUGCGAUGAAGGCCUUCGGGUUGUAAAGCACUUUUGGCGGGGAAGCGGUACCUGCAGAAUAAGCACCGGCUAACUACGUGCCAGCAGCCGCGGUAAUUC
rnacentral:rRNA from 1 species